UUUUUGUCAAAAGUGGUAACAUCUUAAUACAAAUAAAAACCUUUUUGUGGUUGUAAGAUUUAGCUUAUAAAUCAUUCAAAUUGAAGUGAAAGAUUACCAGGUCAUUGUUAAUGACUUAGUCUAUUAAGAAUAUAUGUAUUUUUGUAAAGGGAAAGCACUUGUAGAUAUUUAAUCAGUACUAUAUGUCUGUUUUGCAGAAAUAAAAUGCUGCUUAGAGAUUCUCCCAAGUAUAUUUGACCAUGUUAAAAAUAGUAUCUUUGUUAUUAAAAACUUGAUUGCAU
rnacentral:lncRNA from 1 species